UUUGUGAUGAGAGUUUGAUCCUGGCUCAGGAUGAACGCUGGCGGCGUGCCUAACACAUGCAAGUCGAACGAAGCUC
rnacentral:rRNA from 1 species